GAUGAACGCUGGCGGCGUGCCUAAUACAUGCAAGUCGAGCGGUAAGGCCCUUCGGGUACGACGAGCGGCGGACGGCUGAGUAACACGUAGGAACGUACCCCAAACUAGAGGGAUAAGCACCAGAAAUGGUGUCUAAUACCGCAUGUGAUCUUCGGAUUAAAGCUUCGGCGGUUUGGGAACGGCCUGCGCAUGAUUAGCUUGUUGGUGAGGUAAUUGCUCACCAAGGCGACGAUCAUUAGCUGGUCUGAGAGGAUGACCAGCCAGACUGGAACUGAGAACGGUCCAGACUCCUACGGGAGGCAGCAGUAGGGAAUUUUCCACAAUGGGCGAAAGCCUGAUGGAGCAACGCCGCGUGCAGGAUGAAUGUCUUCGGAUUGUAAACUAGCUUUUAUAUGUGACGAUAAUGACGGUAGCAUAUUGAAUAAGGAUCGGCUAACUACCGUGCCAGCAGCCG
rnacentral:rRNA from 1 species